UUGCCGUUCGUUACUAAAUAACGUAUAUGUUACAUAAUUUGUAUGUCUUCUUUCUAGUAUGAAGAAGGGGACAGCGUAAUGGCACUGUGGCCUCCAGACUCGUCAUGGUAUCCAGCUGUAAUCACCUCCAUAACCAAAGGGAAGUCACUAAUCAAGUACUGUGUGCGUUACAAUGAUUAUGGCAUCACACGCUCCUUAUUUGAGCACCAGCUGGCCCAUCAAACAUCAGGUUUUCAGUCUGAUACUUCAAGGUCUGUCAACCCCAACACCAAUUGCAGGGAUGACGAUG